rnacentral:rRNA from 1 species
UUCGUCCAAGUGAAGCAGAGGACAGUGGCGGACGGGUGAGUAACGCGUGGGUAACCUGCCUCAUACAGGGGGAUAACAGUUGGAAACGACUGCUAAUACCGCAUAAGCGCACAGGAUUGCAUGAUCCAGUGUGAAAAACUCCGGUGGUACAAGAUGGACCCGCGUCUGAUUAGCUGGUUGGUGAGGUAACGGCCCACCAAGGCGACGAUCAGUAGCCGGUCUGAGAGGAUGAACGGCCACACUGGAACUGAGACACGGUCCAGACUCC